AACAACGAACUUGUAUGAAUCAAGCUUCCAACACGAUGUUCGUUCCGAACUGCAACGGAAAUUUCUCACAAUUCUCUUCUUCAAACAUUAUAAGUACCCGACAUAUCGGAGUGUUCGGAUGUUGAAAAUUGUAAUGACGUGUAUUUAACGCGAGUUAAGAAAAAAAAAUUAGUUAUUAAAAUUAAAUUAAAAAUAAAUACCGUGCAAUUGUCAUAGCUAGCUUAUGAAGAGUCCAAAAGUGCAAAGUUUAUAAUUAAACGCAAGUGAUGAAGCAAAGUAAAUAUUAGUUUUAUAGCAAUAAAUGAAAAAAGCAACAACGGAAUCAAUGCAUGAAAUAUAAGCAAAAAACAGGAAUUUUGCGUUACGUGCUUUCGAUAAGUGGCCCAACAUAAAGGCGAGGUGGUGGUGUUAAUUAUUUUCAUAGUGUUAUAUCAAAGAGCCUGUUGGCGACGACAUUAUAACAAAAACAUAUAUAAAAUAAAUAACAACAACCAAUAAAAUAAAUUACAGCAAAAAACGUAAUAAUUACAGCGCAUUAAUAGCAGUUAAAUAUCGUCUGUCACGCAUUAAGCCAUAUUAAGCGCUCUAAAUCCAUACAACAACAACAAUAAGUAAUCAAAAAGUGUGCGUACCAAAUUUGUUUUUACUACUACACAUACACACACCUAUACACGCGCAAAUAUGGCCCUCGCCGUCGAAAUUGCCGGCAAACGGAAUGCCACAAAGCCAACAACAGCAGCAGCAGCGCAUAAAAAACAACAAAUACGUCGACUAUUUCUGCUGUUGCAAGUUUGCAUCGCCGUCUUAGUAGCCAGCAAUUGUUUGGAAUUGCCAUCGGCGACCAACGCAAAAAAUCUCGAUGGUCAUCACUUUCAUGCUCACCAUGAGCAACAACAACAACAGCGUGCACAUCACAGGCGCCGCCUGCAGCGCGAUUCCACCAGUAAAAUUUUGAACACACGCGAACAGUGCAACAGCGUGCGGGAUUACUUCGAGACGAUCGCCAUUAAGCUGAGUGGCAACUUUAAGGAAAAAGAGCAUUUCCUAGUCCUAAAGGAAUAAUCAGAGAAUAAUACCCUGGAUGUCUAAUCACAAGUGUACAAAGGCGUGAUACCACAAUCGAGCGAAUUGAUCCUUCAAUUCAGAAAACCUGAAGCAUUUUGAAAAUGGGCACGGCAACAGCAUCAACAGGUAGCGUCAACCAUUUGGGUGAUCCGGAAGAUGUUAUGCAAAAAUUCCUUGUGUAUAUUUUUCCCGUGGCCUAUCUCUUGAUUUCCGAUCGGUGCACAUGAGCAAAGAAGAUUAUGGAUUACAUCAAUUGCUAGAAGGACAUAUUCAACGAUCUACAGUCGUUUGGCAGAAUAUCAAAGGAGAUCACAUCUUCAUAAAUUCAUUGCAACAGAGUGCUGAGGUGCUCAGCUAAACUGAUGAGUUUUAGAUGUAAAACAGAAGGUAUAAAUUAGAGAAGAUAUAACAGUAGUAAAGUAGAUGUAACAGAGAACGUAUGAAUUAGAGAAGGUUCUGUAGCGGUCUAGCGUAUAAAUUUUCAAAACUUAAGAAAAUCUGAUGAGCGUAUUUCACCACUGAAGCUAAGAAGGAAAAAUUUUAACAGAACCACUUGAACUGAAAUUUUGCUUAGCGUAAUUUUUUUGAUCUUACAACCGGUUGUUAGUCCUUUGGCUUAUAUUUUUGAACGUUUAUAUUCAAUCCUACCAAUUGGUAUGAAUAUCGUUUUUAUGAAAGUGUGUAUACUUUCCGUUAUUUUCAGAAGGUUAUUUUUUAAAAUUUGGUAAGGACGCUGCUCAAUUCUAGUGAUUUACUAAAAAGAGCUUUUUUAUUUCUUAUCCCUUUAUACAAUAUUUUGCUUAGGCCUAAAAACAUUCAGCUUACAUUCUAGGAAGCGCAGAGUUUAGAUGUUAGAUGAUGUGCUUCCUAAUUCUACUUAGAGACAUAAGUAUUAGGUGAUGAUUUAUUUAUGUAUUCUCUCUAUACAUAUGUCGUUUAUAAAUCUUUCGAAAAUUUUCAACUCGAAAGACAUUCGGACGUAUUCAAAGAGUCCUGCCGGAGUAAGAAAAAUUGUUUUCUCAAUAUACCUUUCUGGUGUUAACCUUUUGCCUGAGUUAACCGGAGCAUAAAAUUGUUUCCCAAAAAUUGUUAAUACAAUUAUAUUGGUACUUUCCCAAGAUGAGGAUUUAGAUUGCCUUCAUCCAACACAUAAGUAUGAAGAAUUUUAUUUAUGCUAUUGUUAAUUCAAAAAUGUCUACAAAAGUGUGGUGGGUAAUUUCAUUUGUCCCGGCAACUGAUUUGAGCGUAAAAGGCUUUUUGUUCACAAUUGGGUUACUAAUUCUAGUUGAUUGAAUAUAAUUCUUAUUAGAUCCAGUAUCAGAAAAUCUUCAGUGUCCCUGCGCCUUAUUUUAAAUUCGUAAUAAGGCAGCGAAGACGGCGCUAAUCUAAAAAAUGAAUUCGAUACUCAUUUUGUUUUGCAGUAUCCUAAGUGUCAUGGGGCGAACCGUCGUCA